rnacentral:lncRNA from 1 species
UUGCUAGAGCAAGCUUGUGACCCCAUAAAUCAUUCUUUGCAUGUGAUACAUUCAGUUUAUUUGUUCCUUAGACCCUAAAAGAGUGAGAACAGUUCCUUAGAAAUCAGAAUUAAGUUGAUCUGCAAUAGUAGUAACAACAUGUAGUGAUGUAACGUAAGUCAGUGUCAGAACUGUAUCUUGUGACCCUUGAUAAGACGGUCAAUAGGAACACACCCUGGCCCCUGGGGGGACAAAAACUCUUGAU